rnacentral:rRNA from 1 species
ACGCUGGCGGCGUGGAUUAGGCAUGCAAGUCGAACGGUAGGAUACUUUCGGGUAUCUGAGAGUGGCGAACGGGUGAGUAACACGUAGGUGAUCUACCCUCAAAUCGGGGACAACCCAGGGAAACUUGGGCUAAUACCGGAUGAGUGCGGUAACGCAUAAAAGGUGGCGUAAGCUGCCGUUUGGGGAUGAGCCUGCGCCCUAUUAGUUAGUUGGUGAGGUAACGGCUCACCAAGGCGAUGAUAGGUAGGCGGCCUUAACGGGUGGUCGCCCACACUGGGAUUGAGAUACGGCCCAGACUCCUACGGGAGGCAGCAGUCGAGAAUAGUCUACAAUGGACGAAAGUCUGAUAGUGCGACGCCGCGUGAACGAAGAAGCCCUUCGGGGUGUAAAGUUCUUUUAUAUGUGAGCAAUGCUUCUUAGGUGAAUAGUCUGAGGAGAGAGAUAUUAGCAUAUGAAUAAGCAACGGCUAACUCCGUGCCAGCAGCCGCGGUAACACGGGGGUUGCGAGCGUUGU